CCUACGGGGGGCUGCAGUGAGGAAUUUUGCGCAAUGGCCGCAAGGCUGACGCAGCAACGCCGCGUGGGUGAAGAAGGCCUUCGGGUCGUAAAGCCCUGUCAGGUGGGAAGAAAGCCAUGGGGACGAAUAAGCUUCAUGGCUGACGGUACCACCAGAGGAAGCACCGGCUAACUCCGUGCCAGCAGCCGCGGUAAUACGGAGGGUGCGAGCGUUAUUCGGAAUUACUGGGCGUAAAGCGCGUGCAGGCGGUUUGGCAAGUCUGAUGUGAAAGCCCCGGGCUUAACCUGGGAAGUGCAUUGGAAACUGCCGGACUUGAGUACUGGAGAGGAAGGGGGAAUUCCCGGUGUAGAGGUGAAAUUCGUAGAGAUCGGGAGGAAUACCAGUGGCGAAGGCGCCCUUCUGGACGGUUACUGACGCUGAGACGCGAAAGCGUGGGGAGCAAACAGGCUUAGAUACCCGAGUAGUC
rnacentral:rRNA from 1 species